rnacentral:rRNA from 1 species
GUCCUGAAGGGCCGUAGAAGACUACUACGUUGAUAGGCUGGGUGUGGAAGGCGAGCAAUCGCUUGAGCUAACCAGUACUAAUGGCCCGUGAGGCUUGACC